GGUGAGCUGGCGGCGUGCUUAACACAUCGCAAGUCNNAACGAUGAAGCUCCAGCUUGCUGGAGUGGAUUAGUGGCGAACGGGUGAGUAACACGUGAGCAACCUGCCCCGGACUUUGGGAUAACAGUUGGAAACAGCUGCUAAUACCGAAUAUGCACCAGAACGGCAUCGUUACUGGUGGGAAAGAUUUUUCGGUCCGGGAGGGGCUCGCGGCCUAUCAGCUUGUUGGUGAGGUAAUGGCUCACCAAGGCGUCGACGGGUAGCCGGCCUGAGAGGGUGACCGGCCACACUGGGACUGAGACACGGCCCAGACUCCUACGGGAGGCAGCAGUGGGGAAUAUUGCACAAUGGGCGCAAGCCUGAUGCAGCAACGCCGCGUGAGGGAUGACGGCCUUCGGGUUGUAAACCUCUUUUAGUUGGGAAGAAGCCUUCGGGUGACGGUACCUUCAGAAAAAGCGCCGGCUAACUACGUGCCAGCAGCCGCGGUAAUACGUAGGGCGCAAGCGUUAUCCGGAAUUAUUGGGCGUAAAGAGCUCGUAGGCGGUUUGUCGCGUCUGCUGUGAAAACUGGAGGCUCAACCUCCAGCCUGCAGUGGGUACGGGCAGACUAAGUGCGGUAGGGGAGAUUG
rnacentral:rRNA from 1 species